rnacentral:rRNA from 1 species
GACAGAGGGUGCAAACGUUGCUCGGAAUCACUGGGCGUAAAGGGCGUGUAGGCGGCCAACUAAGUCGGACGUGAAAUCCCCAGGCUCAACCUGGGGAACUGCGUCCGAUACUGGAUGGCUUGAAUUUCGGGGAGAGGGAUGCAGAAAUUCCAGGUGUAGCGGUGAAAAUGCGUAGAUAUCUGGAGGAAUACCGGUGGCGAAGGCGCA